rnacentral:misc_RNA from 1 species
AACCAUAGAAACCUGCGGAGUACCUGCGGAAGGAUCAUUACCGAGUUUACAACUCCCAAACCCUUAUGUGAACCAUACCUAUCGUUGCUUCGGCGGAGACGCCCCGGCUCUCCGAGCCCGGACCCAGGCGCCCGCCGGAGACCACAAACUCUUGUAUUUGUUUCAGUAUUUUCUCUGAGUGGCAAACGCAAAAAAUAAAUCAAAACUUUCAGCAACGGAUCUCAGAUCGGAAGAGCACAC